UGUCUUACAUUACCAGUUUAUCAGAAAGACCAUCACAUCAAUUUAAUUUAAACACAGUGAUCAGAGGGAAAGGGGGAAGGAAGCUGAUUGGUUAUGUAACCCAGGUAUAUUCCCCUCAAAGUUAAAUAAAAAGUAUUUAGGACUCUUAAUAAUAAUGUUUAGUGGGUACUGAAUUCAUAGUUCAUUAAAAUGUGUAUAUGGGCAUCUACCCCUUUAAGAGCAUCGUUUGUGUUAUAGUUUGGUUGUAAUAUACAUGUGCAAAACGUGGGUUUUACUAACAAGUUAUUUUGUCCGUUAUUCAUUGGUGAAUAAUUGUUUAAGCCCGCCUGAUAUCUACGUAAUGUGAAGUUUGAUUGGUUCUUGAGAGUGGAUGGGAAAAGGAGAGAAGAAGAAAGAAAGCGAACGGAACAGGUGUGUGUCAAAGCGCGCCGUUGUAUGUGUGAGAGAAUCGCGAUUAAUCCGGAUAGGAUUGAUUGAUUUUAUUUAUUUUUUAGCAACGAAAAGUAUUGAAAUAGUUUAUUUAGCAGUAUUUGUUUUGUUUUCACAAAGUUCACUGGCUGUAAGCUGAAUGCUGAGUUAACUUUCUGUUUGUCAGUACACUUGUGUGAGUUCCAGACGAGUUAGUGCUUACUACAAACGAAAUAGUGACUACUAAAGUGAACUUUUAAUAUCAACGUGAAUAACGGUGAUAAGGAGAAGUUUAGCGACUGGACAUCCAGGUAGCGCCCUGAAUUACCGAGAGAUUCAGGGUUCCCCUGGCAACGAGGGAUCGCGAGGUUCGUUAGGACGUGCAUAUCAGUGAGAACCGAGGGAUUAAAGUUUCCUAACAAGGGAGGACUCUUCACUACGGUUAAGGUAUUUCAGUUUAAUAUUUAUUUGGCUCUUCGGAGUGAAGCGGCCAAUUAUCUUUUUGUUUUGUGGCCACAACGCACGCGAGCAACGGUUACAGGCCUGCAACGAGGGGUGAGCGUGAUUGGGUGUGUAUGUGUGUGUGUGUGGGCCCAC